rnacentral:rRNA from 1 species
CCUACGGGAGGCAGCAGUGGGGAAUAUUGGACAAUGGGGGCAACCCUGAUCCAGCCAUGCCGCGUGUGUGAAGAAGGCCCUCGGGUUGUAAAGCACUUUCAGUGAGGAAGAACGCCUGGUGGUUAAUACCCAUCAGGAAAGACAUCACUCACAGAAGAAGCACCGGCUAACUCCGUGCCAGCAGCCGCGGUAAUACGGAGGGUGCGAGCGUUAAUCGGAAUUACUGGGCGUAAAGCGCGCGUAGGUGGCUUGAUAAGCCGGUUGUGAAAGCCCCGGGCUCAACCUGGGAACGGCAUCCGGAACUGUCAAGCUAGAGUGCAGGAGAGGAAGGUAGAAUUCCCGGUGUAGCGGUUAAAUGCGUAGAGAUCGGGAGGAAUACCAGUGGCGAAGGCGGCCUUCUGGACUGACACUGACACUGAGGUGCGAAAGCGUGGGUAGCAAACAGGAUUAGAUACCCUUGUAGUC